AUGCUUCGGCAGCACAUAUACUAAAAUUGGAACGAUACAGAGAAGAUUAGCAUGGCCCCUGCGCAAGGAUGCUAUCAAAGGUUUUAGCCCCCUGGAAUCUUU